rnacentral:lncRNA from 1 species
AAGUGGUGGAUUGAUUCUGAUGCAGAAGUAGACUCGUGAUCCUUUUUCAUGAGGUUGGUGUUGACUGCUAUAGGGGGUGGUCAUGCUUGUAAGAAGAACAAGGCAUUAGAAUAUAGGGUAAUAAUUGUGUCAUUGUUGGAACGAAAAAGUAAUGACUUUAAAAAGGAAAUAUUUUAUGUCAGCAAAUUGGUGUUGCUUUUGUAUUUUGUGCAAAUUUUUUAAAUCAUGAUUUGUUGCUGCCAUAGGUAUUUGGUUUUCUUGUUUCCCUCAAUUUAGUGGGUCUUCUGACAUGCAUGGAUAUUAAGAAUUCAAAAUGCCUUGUUUUUACUAUUAUACAGAUGUUUGUUCACUUAUUUCUUAUUUCUUGUUAACAAACUACAUCUCAUUGUGGACAUUUAUGAUACGCCUGUAAACCAAACUUUUUAAGAUGGAUGCAUUUUAUCUUUGAAGAACCAACCCUUUCUCAGGUUACAUAAGGUGCUUCCAGUGUUUAUUUUCUUCCUCUGUUUAUUGGCCAAAACAAAAUGAUGUAUUGAUUACUCAAAUACAAUAUUUUUGAAGUUUUGAUCACCUGUCUUCAACUGUAUCUUUCUGUAUUUAUUGCUUGUGAACUUCUACUGAUGUGUAUGUAUUACUACCUUAUUCUUAAU